rnacentral:rRNA from 1 species
UAAUCGGGGUUGCGGACAGUGUCUGGUGGGUAGUUUGACUGGGGCGGUCUCCUCCUAAAGAGUAACGGAGGAGCACGAAGGUUGGCUAAUCCUGGUCGGACAUCAGGAGGUUAGUGCAAUGGCAUAAGCCAGCUUGACUGCGAGCGUGACGGCGCGAGCAGGUGCGAAAGCAGGUCAUAGUGAUCCGGUGGUUCUGAAUGGAAGGGCCAUCGCUCAACGGAUAAAAGGUACUCCGGGGAUAACAGGCUGAUACCGCCCAAGAGUUCAUAUCGACGGCGGUGUUUGGCACCUCGAUGUCGGCUCAUCACAUCCUGGGGCUGAAGUAGGUCCCAAGGGUAUGGCUGUUCGCCAUUUAAAGUGGUACGCGAGCUGGGUUUAGAACGUCGUGAGACAGUUCGGUCCCUAUCUGCCGUGGGCGCUGGAGAACUGAGGGGGGCUGCUCCUAGUACGAGAGGACCGGAGUGGACGCAUCACUGGUGUUCGGGUUGUCAUGCCAAUGGCACUGCCCGGUAGCUAAAUGCGGAAGAGAUAAGUGCUGAAAGCAUCUAAGCACGAAACUUGCCCCGAGAUGAGUUCUCCCUGA